GACGAACGCUGGCGGCGUGCUUAACACAUGCAAGUCGAACGAGUGGCGAACGGGUGAGUAAUACGUGGGUAACCUGCCCUCUUUUUGGGGUAAGCCUUUGAAACGGGGACUAAUACCGAAUUCGGGGGUUGGGCUCGGGGCCUAUCAGUUUGUUGGUGGGGUGAUGGCCGACCGAGGCGGUGACGGGUAGGCGGCCUGAGAGGGUGACCUGGAACAGUGGGACGGUGCUGCGGCCCAGGGUACGAAGGGGGGGAGCAGUGGGGGAUAUUGGACAAUGGGCGAAGGCCUGAUGCAGCGACGACGCGUGGGGGAUGAAGGCUUUCGAGUUGUAAACCUCUGUCGCUAUCGAACGGUUACGUGGAGAAGAAGCGCCGGCUAACUACGUGCCAGCAGCCGCGGUAAUUC
rnacentral:rRNA from 1 species